AGAAUCAACGCUGGCGGCGUGCCUAACACAUGCAAGUCGAACGAGAAAGUGGAGCAAUCCAUGAGUACAGUGGCGUACGGGUGAGUAACACGUGACUACCUACCCUCGAGUGGGGAAUAACCUCGGGAAACCGGGGCUAAUACCGCAUAACAUCUACGGAUCAAAUGCGUAAGCAGCUUGAGGAGGGGGUCGCGGCCGAUUAGCUAGUUGGUGAGGUAAUGGCUCACCAAGGCAAUGAUCGGUAGCCGGCCUGAGAGGGCGCACGGCCACACUGGAACUGAAACACGGUCCAGACUCCUACGGGAGGCAGCAGUGGGGAAUUUUGCGCAAUGGGGGAAACCCUGACGCAGCAACGCCGCGUGGAGGAUGAAGCCCCGUUGGGGUGUAAACUCCUUUCGAUCGGGACGAUUAUGACGGUACCGGAUGAAGAAGCACCGGCUAACUCUGCGCCAGCAGCCGC
rnacentral:rRNA from 1 species